rnacentral:tRNA from 2 species
GCGAGAGUGGCGGAAUUGGCAGACGCGCUGGAUUUAGGUUCCAGUGCCGAAAGGCGUGCGGGUUCGACUCCCGCCUCUCGUA